rnacentral:snRNA from 1 species
GUCGGUGGUGUGAUUUACAAGCAGACAAUCCCCUCGCCUUUUACUAGGGGAUUCCGUGUAUGCCACACACCUAACGCCGACUUUACAAUCUUUGGGAACUCAUCUCUUCGGGGAAUU